rnacentral:rRNA from 1 species
UACGUAGGUGGCAAGCGUUGUCCGGAUUUACUGGGCGUAAAGAGCGCGCAGGCGGUCGUGCAAGUCGCGUGUGAAAGCUCCCGGCUCAACUGGGGAGGGUCACGCGAUACUGCUCGACUUGAAGGCAGGAGAGGGAAGUGGAAUUCCCGGUGUAGUGGUGAAAUGCGUAGAUAUCGGGAGGAACACCAGUGGCGAAGGCGACUUCCUGGCCUGUUCUUGACGCUGAGGCGCGAAAGCUAGGGUAGCAAACAGG